UUGCCCCUAUUGGCUAUGCGUCUAUCAUCACUGCCUUCACUUCUUCUCCACAUUUUCUUCCGUGUUUCUUUCUCUCACACAACAUUUUGCUCCGUUUCGAACUUGGGUUUCUUCUUGUCUCUGUCAAUUGGUCCUUUACUUUGAUUGCACACUACAUCAAGUUAAAGCUCCCACCAACUGGAGAAAGAUACCAUGCUACAUCUUAUUUGUGUGCCAGUUGUGGUGCUCUCUUGGGGUUUCUGUACGCGCUGGUCAUCUGGAAGGGAAAGAAAAAUCUGGGCAACUGGGGUUUCUCCCUCUCAUUCCACUAUGUCUAAUUCCACUUUCUCUAAAAAAAAAAAAAAAAAAAUCCCAAAAUUGGCUCUUCAGGACUGGAACUGGAAGUAUAAGGGUGAUCUAAUUUUUCUGGCUUGUCAAGAGCAGCAGCAUGAGCCAUAUCUCAUAUAAACAACAAGUGGAAGGUUUACAAGACGUUAACCAAUUAGUUGGGCUAUUAGUUCCUUUACUUUGUGAUGUCCCUGGUGUGAGUAAAAAAAUGCUCAGAUUUUGUCUUUGUAAUCAGAUGGUUGAUAUUGCUGACUGAUUUCAUUCUUCUUCACUUUCAAGAAGCACCGGUGUUUAUUGAAGUUUCGUACAGCCAAAUUGGAAUCAAUCUGAAAGAACUGUGUCUAUUUGCUGUCUUCAAGGUUACAAGAACGAAGCACACCAGCUGUCGCCCACCAACAACGCUUGUCAUCACACCAUACAAAUUCCAAAAUUGAGGAAGACAUGGGCCGCACCGUACUCUACAGACCACCAAAACGAACGCCACUAUGAAACAAAGGAAGUAGGCGAGAAAAAAGUUCCCACAAGUGAAAUGACCAACGAACGCAAACACCAGGGAGAACCAAUAAGGGUCAACAAAAGUGGUGGUGCGAACAUUCAAGCCAAAGCUCUAUGCACCCUCUCAUAUAAAUGCGAAAAAUCACAGAAUAACCAAAUCGAAUUGAGGAUUAGUGGAAUUAUAAUGGAGCCAAUUGAUGGAGAUGGUAGAGGAAACAGGUGACCAGGAUCUAGGACUCAAGUAGUUGGAAUCAGAGGCAAGAAAAGUAGAAAGACGAUGAGAUGUGAAGAUAAGGUCGACAUGGAACCGGGACUAGGAUUAUUGCAGAAAAUAGAACGGGAAAGAAACAGAAGACAAGGAGAAAGCAAGGUACUGGCACCAACCUUGCCCACAUAUAGGGCCGACGGCUACGCUGAAAAACGGAAUCUAAAUUCACUCACACAACGGUGAUAAAAUAACAACUUUCACGUGUGCAUGUUUGGAUACAGGGAUUUUGGUAACUGAAACGCUCGACUUCAAAAUUAAAAUUGACUUGAAUAAAAUACAAAUAAUUGGUUC